rnacentral:lncRNA from 1 species
UUGGUUUAAGUGCAGAUGACAUUAAUCCUUUUGGGGAGCAGAACAACAAUCAUAGCACAUGGCCUGUGACUCUAUGUAUCUAUAACCUUCCUCCUUGGUUAUGCAUGAAGCGAAAGUUCAUUAUGAUGCCAGUGCUCAUCCAAGGCCCCAGGCAACCCGGUGUAAUGCCCAGGAUAAAGUUAUACCGGGGACUUGUGAUGAAUUCAAGCCCAGGGUAUAAAGUUAUCCUCGACACGUAGCAAGGUGGAAAAUCAUACACACAUACCACAUAUGAAAGGGAUAUAGGAGUAAUAAGCUAGGCAACACAUGCCCCAGAAUAUAAUAUAUCAAUAUAAUAUUAUUACAAUCUCAUAAUAUCCGACUCCGGAUCUAAAAAGAUAAAACACCACCCUGCUACAAGCCCCGGAUCACCCGACUAGUAACCCAAUCUACUGAUCGUCCGGAUAAGUAACAUAGAAACGCCCGCGGUCCUCGUCGUACUCCCAGUGCAGCUCCUGAGCAUCAGCGUUAUCGAACUCGGUUGUACCUGCAUCUGAGGUGUUGUAGUAACUGUGAUCCACGAGGACUCAGCAAUCCCGAUACCCGGGGUAACAAGACUAAGCAAGUUUAAGUAGGUAGGAUCAGGCUGUUUAAGUGGAGCUGCUGCAAGCGACUAAGCAUUAUAUGGUGGCUAACUUACGCAAGUCAGAGUUAAGGUGAGAAGACCUACGUCAACGGUCGAGACUAAUGAUCACUAAGUGAUCCUAGCUAUCUUACGGUCAGACAUAACCCCACCGUAUUCUCUUCCCGGUUUCCUCCGAAAAAGAGACGAUCACGGUACGCACACGGUUGGUGCAUUUUAAUUAAGUUAACUUCCGAUUAUCUACCACCGGUAUUAAACAAAUCCAAUCCGCCCGUAACCGCGGGCACGGCUUUCGAAAGAUAAUACCCUGCAGGGGUGUUCCAACUUAGCCCACGACAAGCUCUCACGGCAUGCGGAGACAAUCCUCCAUAGUAAAGAAUCCGAUCAGACUCGGGUUCUAGUUGCACAAGACAUUUCUGCAAAGGCGAAACAAAACCAGCAAAGACCUCCCGGCGUGCCGACACCCUGAUAGUAGCCGCGCGUAUCUCGUCUCAGGCCACGUCCGGAUGGGACAGGCUACAGGUACCAAAACCUCGAGUUGCCCCGUGGAGGUCCCGCAGUCUCCCCGAUUCGGACCAACACUCAUGAGGAGUACUGGCCCUGGGUUGUUGAUUAAAAGAUCCUCGGGUUAAUUACUCCCUAUGUGUUAAUUAGGUGAGGCAAAUGGUAAAACCAAAGUUGGGUCUUGCUGGAAAUGUUUAUCCUAAACGAACUAUCAAGGGGUCCUCAUAAAACCCUACCGCGUUAGGAACGCAAAAUCAAGGAACAUAACACCGGACUGACGGUACUUAAGGCGGCAAGAGCAGAACAAAACACCAAGCAAAAGGCUUAGCCUUCCGCCCUUUACCAAGUAUAUAAGGGUGCAUUAUUAACAUAGCAAUAUUGUGUUAUCCCAGAAAUAUAUCAUGAUCCAACAAGGAUCAACCUGCAACUAGCAACGCUAUAAGAACAAGGGCUUAAAAGCAAGCACUAGUUAGCCAAUCAAGGUUUUGCUGGGACAGGAUUAGUUAGAGUCAUCGAGGCAACAAAGGGGGCUAAACAUGUGAUAGGAUUCGUAGACAUAGCGAAAGAGCGAAUACUAGCCAAACAAGCAUAGUAAUGGUAUCACGGGUAAAGAUCAUCUUGCCUGGUAAUUCCUCGGUAGGAUCGGAAAACAGCUCGGUAUGAUCGUACUCAAUGGAACCCUCGUUCACGAAAUCGUCUCCCAAAGCUACCCACAAACAAGAAUACAAUAAACAUACCACACAACAAAGUACAUAUGAAAUAUGUAUGCAUAUGACUAUAUGAUGCAACGUAUCGAAACGGUAACGGAAACGAAAGGGCGCGAUGAACGGAAGGAGUUAUGAAGUGGACAGCAAGGAAAUGGCCCAAUCUUGUCAGGACAAGGUAUCCAUUGGAUAGAGGAGGUGAAAUUGAUUGAAAACCAUAUAAAGAUCAUGGCAAUCGGAGUUACGAGUAAGAAAUGGCAAGCAUAUCAAGUUUCAAACAAUUCUGCCAAAAACAGCAACUAUGCCACUUCAACACAACAAUUAAAUAUGCUACAGCAACUCAAAUAGAAAUCUAAGAACAUGACUGGAAAUAGCAUUUCAACUACAACAAUAAAGCCCAACUAAGCUACUCAUGAAAGUGCAUGGAAGACAUUUAAAACAGGAGCUAAACAUGUGACAAAAUUACUGUUUACAGACUUAGUAGAAAUUUAGCCUAGCAAGUUGAAAACAAAAUCUGGAAGCAACUUUAGAGCAUGGUAGUUAACACAUACAGCAAAUUCUUCUACAGCAACAUAGCAUGAAAAUGUUAAGCAUGACACCCUCAACAAAAGUCCCUUACUGAAGUUCAGCUAGAAAUGCACAGGUUAAAAGAUAGCAGUAGCUAAACAUGGCAUCUGGAUUAUUUCGGCACUUAGGACUUGGUGAAAAUUAGCACAUGUCAAAAACAGAAUUUAGUGCAAACUUUGGGAGCUUGUGCCACUCUACAUAAUGAUCCAAAAAAUUACAACUAAAAUCCUACAGUAACAUGGCAUGUCAUAGAAGAUGAUGGCACAAAGUUUACCCCUAAAGCUAUUAUCAUGUGGGCCAUGCAGCAAGUUUAAAACAACACCAGAUUCAAAUAAUCAUGCACACAAACUUUACCCCUAAAGCUAUUAUCAUAUAAUAUGUUGGGGGUUGCUUGGGAAAAUAAAUCACAAAUGCAAAAAGAAAAACCUGCCUUAAUUGGGAAAAACCCAGAAAUGCAUAUUCCGAAAAGGGAAUAUGCCCUUUAGGGAUAUGCCAGAAUUGGCAUACUCGCAGGAGUCAAUUUAAUAUAGGCUGGAGUGGCCGACAGGUGGGGUCUGGAUGGAAGUGAGUAUGACAAGUGGGACCCACAUGUCAGUACUCCGAAAUACGCAAAAAAUGCGCCUAUUCAACUGCGCGAGGGGGGAAUUCGAACCGCGGUCGCUGCGUUACAGGAGGGAGGUGCUAGCCACUGGGCUAGUUCAGUGUGUUCGACAGAGAAGGCGUCGUACGCAGGAUAUCAUCUAGCAGCGAGGUGCUCGCCGGCGACGCGCCGGAAGCAGAGAGGGUUGGCCGGAGUUGCUGCGUUAGCCUAAAGGAGCGGCGGAGAUGUGCAACGCAAGCGCACCACACACCCGCAAGCGCGUGUGACCAGAGCUGCGCCGGACGACGACAUAAACGACGCCGGCGAGGAACUACAGACGCGGCGGCGACGAACUCGUGCACGUGCAACCGAGAAGGUAACGCGCGACUUAGCGGUCCAGGACGGACUACGCGACGCAAAGAAACCAUCCGGACAUGAGCAGGAAAGUUAACGAGGUCGGGGUCCUCGCCGGAGACGAGGCCCGACGCGGCGGAGGAGAACCCGAAAGGGGAAAACUCGUUCACGGCGCAACCGGCGAAGCUAUGCGCAUGGGAAGGGUCGCGGACGUACCGCGAACACGUUUACGUGCUCGGUCGGAAAAGUCGUGGUCGGAGACGGUGGCGGCGACGAUCAAACGGCUAUGGCCACCGGAGAGGAAGACGACGACGUAAUCGCGCUGUAGUGGUACAAGGCCUCCGUAGGCGUACGUAGUGGAAGUAGUCGACGACGGGGAUGCAGACGGGCAAGGUCUCACCGGCUGGAUACGCCGGAGAGCACGACGGCGACGAGAGCUCGCUCUCUGUUGCGCUCGGGUUCGAUGAAAUUGGCUGGAUCUGGUGGCGCCCUUACCUGGCGGCGGCGACGAGGGGG